CCUGGUUGAUCCUGCCAGUAGUCAUAUGCUUGUCACAAAGACUAAGCCAUGCAUGUCUAAGUAUAAACUAAUUAUACGGUGAAACUGCGAAUGGCUCAUUAAAUCAGUUAUAGUCUACUUGAUCGUAAAUUCUACUUGGAUAACCGUAGGAAAUCUAGGGCUAAUACAUGCUAAAAGCCGCGACUACCUCCGGGUUGGAAGCGGUGAAUUUAUUAGAUUAAAAACCAAUGGCGGGGGCAACCUCGUCAACCCUAGGCGAAUCAUGAUAACGCAUCUGAUCGGCGGCUAGUCCGCCGACGAUACAUACGAAUUUCUGCCCUAUCAACUUUCGAUGGUUGGAUAGAGGCCAACCAUGGUCGUAACGGGUAACGGAGAAUUAGGGUUCGGUUCCGGAGAUGGAGCCUGAGAGAUGGCUACAACUUCCACGGAAGGCAGCAGGCGCGCAAAUUACCCAAUCCCAAUACGGGGAGGUAGUGACAUGAAAUACCGAUGCGUGGCCCUAUUGGGUCGCGACGUUGGAAUGAGUACAAUUUAAAUCCCUUAACGAGGAACAAUUGGAGGACAAGUCUGGUGCCAGCACCCGCGGUAAUUCCAGCUCCAAUAGCGUAUAUUAAAGUUGUUGCAGUUAAAAAGCUCGUAGUUGGAUUUCGGAGCAUUCACGAUGCUGACCGCUGAAACGGCGUGUUCGGCGCGUGGAUCUCCUCUUCUUGGGGAUACAAGUGGGUGGCGGGUAAAACCGUCAUUCGCUCCCCAUCGUUUACUUUGAGAAAAUUGGAGUGCUCAAAGCAGGCACAACCCUGCCUUGAACAAUGCAGCAUGGGAUAAUAGAACAGGACGAAGGUCCUAUUUUGUUGGUUUCUAGGGCUUUUGUAAUGAUUAAAAGGGACAGUUGGGGGCAUUCGUAUUCAAUUGUCAGAGGUGAAAUUCUAGGAUUAAUUGAAGACGAACUACUGCGAAAGCAUUUGCCAAGGAUGUUUUCAUUAAUCAAGAACGAAAGUAGGGGGAUCGAAGAUGAUCAGAUACCGUCGUAGUCUCUACCAUAAACGAUGCCGACCAGGGAUCCGGAGAAGUUACGUGGAUGACUCCCCGGGCACCUUGUGAGAAAUCAUAAGUCGCUGGGUUCUGGGGGGAGUAUGGUCGCAAGGCUGAAACUUAAAGGAAUUGACGGAAGGGCACCACCAGGCGUGGAACCUGCGGCUUAAUUUGACUCAACACGGG
rnacentral:rRNA from 1 species